rnacentral:lncRNA from 1 species
GUGUUGGGCAUCCCAUCUUCUCACACAUCCUAAGGUGAGGGUGUUUGCUUCUACAUUAAGAACGAGGAGAAAGACUGAUGUUCAAGUAUUGAGUUUGCAAUCAAAGAUUCAAAAGACUGAAAUCCUAUUUAGAGAAGAAGGAUCUACAAUGAGAAGAAAGAUUUAAGAUUGAUCCUAAUGGAUAUUUGUAGAGGCCAGAUAUGUGUGUGACUCAAGAACCUUCAG